UUAUGACACUUUAUGGCUGUUUCUAACAUGCACAAAUGGAUUUCUCCAAGCUGCUCCAGGUGCCAUUGAGAACAGACACCGUGACCAUCCAAGAGAGCUCACCUCAGCAGCUUGGGCUGGGGGAACAGAGCAUUGGGAAUUCUGUGUCUCUUGCUGCAGGUUAAGCUCUGGAGGAAGGCAAAGCUGACUCUUCUGCUUAUACUUCAACCUCUAGCAAAAGGUUUUGUGUGUUCUUUCAACUACAUCUGUACAUAAAGUGGAUUGUAUUUGCAGAAAAUUGCUUUGACUAAAUCUGCCAUACACCCAUCUUCAAGAUUUGAUAUCUGAUUUCCAGGAAGGCUGUGGGACAACAUCUUGUUCAUUAGAAUGUUCCAUGAGGAGAGGAGAAAUCAUCUCUAAAGACCUGUGGAGAAGAGUUUAUCCAGUACAACCUGAGUACUUCCUUCAUUUUGUCUAGCAAAAGUACAGACAUUCAGAGGAUGAUCCAGCUUGCUAAAAAUAAAUGCCUUUUUUUUCCCAGAAAAUACAAAA